rnacentral:tRNA from 1 species
AGUUCCACAAAGUCAUAGACCAUCUUUUUCGUAAUCAGCAGGUCGCAGGUUCGAAUCCUGUAGUUGGCUCCA